GCACAUAUACUAUUAAUAAAAUUGGAACAAUACAGAGAUUAGCAUGGCCCCUGUGCAAGGAUGACAUGCAAAGUCAUGAAGCAUUCCAUAUUUUU
rnacentral:snRNA from 1 species